rnacentral:rRNA from 1 species
UACGGAGGGUGCAAGCGUUAUCCGGAAUCACUGGGUUUAAAGGGUGCGUAGGCGGUCCGAUAAGUCAGCUGUGAAAUCGCUGGGCUCAACCCAUGCAAUUGCGGUUGAUACUGUCGGACUUGAAUGGGGUUGAGGCUAGCGGAAUGCGGCAUGUAGCGGUGAAAUGCUUAGAUAUGCCGCAGAACACCGAUUGCGAAGGCAGCUAGCUGGGCCUUUAUUGACGCUGAGGCACGAAAGCGUGGGGAGCAAACAGG